rnacentral:tRNA from 1 species
GUCAAAGAGCUCACCCGGUUACUCUCCUAGAGUUACCGGGUUUUCAUCCCGGCAACAGGGGUUCGAAACCCCUAGGGGACGCCA